CAUCUCAUCAGGGUGACAAACAAAUGCUUUGGCUGAGGUGCUUGGGAUAGAGUUGUCCAAGCAAGCUGGAGAGUUUUGUUGGUCUGGAAAAGUCUGGAUGCUUCUCUAAGAGGAUACCAUGAAGCUGUGCUGCUGCUCCUCUUCCAAGGUACAGGUGGGACACGAUGGAAGGCUGGAACCUUUCUCUUGCCAGAUGGCAUCCUGAGUGGUUGCUCACCUCGGAGAAAGAGAGGAACUGGGGCACCUGAAGUAGACUGCCUGGAGGGCUCUGACAACAACGUGCUGGGACCAAAUGAAUAACCAUGCUGACACUGAGGGCUGUUAAACACCUCCAGCCACUGUCUGAAGGAACCAAAGAAGGCUAAAAAUCUAAGUUCCAGCUGCACUUCAAAAGCCAUUUCUCAAGAGGGAGUGUCAGCCAGAGGGUGGCCAAAAAGAAGGACCAGAAGCAAGACUGACUAAUAAAUACCAAACAGAAGUGACUGAAUGAAACCCAACAGCCAGAAAUAAUGUUUCUUUUGUGUGAGCUGAGAAUUCCUCCUUGUAAAUACUGCAACCAACAACCAGACAGAAGGCAAUGAGA